ensembl:lncRNA
UUUUUUUUUUUUUUUUUUUCCUUUUCCAUGGCAGGCAGAAGUUCCCAGGCCAGGGACUGAACCCAUACCACAAUAGUGAUAAUGCCAGACACUUAACAUGCUAUGCCACCAGGAAAUUUAGCCUCUUUCCUUCUUCUGCUGUCAAAACCCCUCUUUUACAUGAGGAACCCAUUUCACAUAUUUUAGGUGGAGCUGACCUUCUUCCCCUUCCCCUGUAGCCAUGAAUACCAAGGUAUUUUACCAAUAUAACUAUAGGGACUGAUUCAGGGAAAACCAUUUGAUUCAAGUCAGGAUAUUAAGAAUUUCACUUGGCUUUUAUAAAGCAAAGGAAACCAUAAACAAAACAAAGAGGCAACCUAUAGAAUGGGAUAAAAUAUUUGCAAAAGAUACAAUGACAAGGGCUUAAUCUCCAAAAUAUACAAGCAACUCAGACAAACAACAACAACAAAACAAACAACCCCAUUGAAAAAUGGGCAGAAGACCUAAAUACACAUUUCUCCAAAGAAGACAGAGAGAUGGCCAGUAGGCACAUGAAAAGAUGCUCAUCAUUGCUAAUUAUCAGAGAAAUGCAAAUCAAAACUAUAAUGAAGUAGCACCUCACACCAGUCAGAAUGGCCAUCAUUAAUCAGUCUACAAAUAAGAAAAGCUAGAGGGAGUGUGGAGAAAAGGGAACCCCCUUACACUGUUGGUGGUAAUGUAAAUUGGUACAACUACUACGGAAAACAGUACAGAGGUUCCUCAGAAAACUAAAUAUAGAUCUGCCAUAUGAUCCAGAAAUCCCAUUCUUGGGUGUAUAUCCAUGCACCAAAAUACCAGAUGUAUAUCCAUGCAUCAAAAAGGUACAUGCACCCGUGUGUUCAUUGCAGCACUACUUAAAUAGGCAAGACAUGGAAAUAACCUAAAUGUUCAUUGACCGAGGAAUGGAUUAAGAAGAUGUGGUACAUAUAUACAAUGGAAUACUACUCAGCCAUAAAAAGAACAAAAUAAUGCCAUUUGCAGCAAAAUGGAUGCAACUGAGAUUAUCAUACCAAGUGAAAUAAGUCAGAAAGAGAAAGACAAAUACCAUAUGAUAUCACUUAUAUGUGGAAUCUUAAAUAUGGCACAAAUGAACUUAUCUACAAAGCAGGACACAGACAUAGAGAACAGACUUGUGGUUGCCAAGGGGGAAGGAGGGAGGGAAGUGUGUGGGAGUUAGGGGUUAGUAGAUGCAAACUAUUACAUGUGGAAUGGAAAAACAACAAGGUCCUACUGUAUAGCACAGGGAACUAUAUCCAAUCUCCUGGCGCAGACCAUGAUGGAAGCUAAAAUUUUUUUAAAAAGAUGGUAACUGGGUCACUGUGCUGUACAGCAGAAAAUAGCACAACAUUAUAACUCAACUAUACUUUGAUUUUUAAAAAGCAAAAAGCAAUUUCACUUGGACUUCUCAGUAGUUACCAGGCAAGAUGCACUCUUUAUGCUGGUAGGUUAUGAAUCUUGGAAUCUUGGUCUGUCAUACACAGAUUAUGGUAGUCUGUCUGAGAGCUGGAGAGAGAGAGAGAGAGAGAGAGAGAGAGAGAGAGAGAGAGAAAUCCAGCUAGUCAAGGUUCUCCAGAGAAACAGAGCCAACAGGGUAUGUGAGUGUACAUAUAUAUACACACAUAAAUAUAGAUAUAUAGGAGGAUAUUUACUACAGAUUGGUCUACACAGUUACGGAAAAUGAGGAUUUGCACAAUUUGCCAUCUGCAAACCAUAGAACCAGAAAAGCUGGUGGAUUAAUUGAGUCCAAGGCCAGAGGCCUAAGAACCAGAACCACCAGUGUCCAAUGGCAGAGGAGAUGGAUAUCUCAUCUCAAAAAGAAUCUGCUUGGCCUUUUUGGACCAUUUGGCCCCAAUGGUUUGGGUGAUACCUGCUAGACUGCUGCGAGUUUACCUUUUAUUCAGACUACUGAAUCAAAUGCUAAUCUUUUCUAGAAACAUCUUACAGAUAACACACUUACGGGGUUUCAUCAGCUAUCUGGGGUUUCCUUUAGUCAAGCUGACACAAAAUUAUCAUACCAGCCACAUCUGAAAUUAAUGGUACAUUCCACUUUUCACUCACUUAAGCUGGUAUGACCUGGGUUUCCACAAUUUUGAAUGGAUGAAGACCUAAUACGAGUGGUUGAAAAUAUUCUAGACACAGUACAGUUUUUUGUUGACUUUAUAAAAUAAUUUUCUACUUGAAAGAUGCAGUAAACUUUGUGAUGUGAGACUAAAUUAAAUAAAGGACUUAGUUCUUCAGGUUGGAUUUAAACACUGUACAUUUUAUCAUGUUCUUGGUUGUUUUAGAAGUGUAACAUGAAUUUUGGUUCACAACCAUAACACUUAUGUCUCCAAUCCUCCUGUAUUUUUAAACUUCUUCCACUAUGGAUAAGAGAAUCUAAGGAUUUAUAUCAGCUUAUGAACAGCUAUUAUUAAUGUUCUCAACUGAUGGCAAGAUAUUUCCAUAGAACAUUAAAAUGGGAAGGAUCUUAGAAAUGGUCUAUCAUUUUACAAAUAAGAAAAUUAAGACCUAGAAUAAUUAAGUGAUAUAAGCCAGCUUCUCUACCCUUCCUUCAGAGAUAAAGACAUAAAGACCUGAUAAUUCUUUAGAUGAAACUUUUGUCUGAAGUUAGAGAAAGAGAAAAAAAAGAAGAAAGCAAGAUAACAUCAACAGUGAAAGCACUUUCAUUGUACCUACCCAGUUCUCAUCAUCUCUUGCCAAACUGCUAGAAUAACCUUUUAAACAAAUGUCCUAUUCUAUGGACUCAUCCAAACCACUCUGUAUAUUGCUGCCAGAUUUAUCUUUUUAAAACCAUAGAUCUAAUCAUACAACUUCAAGAUCAAAAUUUUAAAGUAUUUCUUUUAUAGCCUAUUCUUUCCCUUGCUAGUCUCCAAUCAAGCUAAGGUAUUCAAACUCUUCAAAUAUGCUAUGAACGCUCACUCUCUCUUCUGCAUUUACUGUUCUUUCUACAGAGAACAUGUUCUCCUUUUCUUUGAGAAGCUACCUCUCCUGACAAAUUUCCACACAUCUUCCCUAAGACUUAGCCCAGAUCAUAUCCACUCCCCUCUCCCUAAAAUCAAAUGUUGGAACAAUGAUAAAAUUUGCAAUGUAAUUACAAAAAUGUCUAUAAAAUGAUAGCUAUGAGAAUCCACUUCCUUAAUUAUCAAGUUCUGCAUGUAUUAUACAAUAGUAUUCAUAAAAUUAGUAAUGAAAGAAUAAAAGCAAUUUGAAAUCAUCAUAUGUUAGAGCAGAACAUAACUGAAAGACCAAGUACAUAACAGCUAUGACAGGUGAAAAUUAAAUCUCUAAUAUAGCAGCAAUAUUAAAUGCUGUAGUUAGGUGUGUGCUUAUGCUGGUGUACGACAGAAUCUGUCUCUUUGCAACUGGACUUCUUUAUUUUUGAUGAGCUUGAUAUCAUAUCAAUACCUUAGAAACUGAUGUCUAGAUCCUGAAAAUUUUCCAUCAAAAAUUUCUUGUAUAGUUAUAUUUUCUUUGGCCACACACAUGGCAUAUAGAUGUUUCCAGGCCAGGGGUCCAAUCCCUGAUGCAGAGAAAAUGCCAAUCCUUAACCCACUGUGCCACAGUGGGAACUCCUACAUUUUGUUUUUAAUCAGUCUGACAACUUUAGCUUUUUUAAAAACUAUAGUUGAUUUAUAGUGCUUCUUCAAGUUCGGUUACACAGCAAAGUGUCCCAGUCAUACACAGUUCCCUUCUGUGCUGUACAGUAGGACAAUUUUAGCUUUUUGAUUUGAGUAUUUAGUCCAUUUAAUUUAAUUACUGAUAUUUGUGGUGGCUUUUUUAGAUAUAUUCACAUACCAUAAGAUUCAUCCUUCUAAAGUGUAUAGUUAGGUGAGUUGUUCAAACUUCACUACUAACUUCAGAAUAUUUUCAUCACUCCACAAAGAAACUCCAGGCCCAUUAGCAGUCACUCUCCAUUUCUCCUUCCUAGCUUCUGGCAACUAAUAAUUUGUUCCUGUCUCUAUGGAUUUGCCACUCUACAUGUUUCAUAUAAAUGGAAUCACAUAAUGUAUGGCCUCUUGUUGGAGCAUGCAUCAACAUUCAUCCCAUUUUAUGAUUAAAUAAUAUUCCAUUGUAUAAAUAUAUCCAUUAUGCUUAUCCAUCAGUUGAUGGAAAUUUGGGUAGCCUCCACAUUUUAGUUGCUAUGAACAUUAACUUACAAGUUUUUGUUUACACAUCUUUUAAAAAAUUAUUUGGGGUAUAUAACUAGAAGUAGAAUUGCUGGAUCAUAUGAUAGAACUAUGCUUUUUGAGGCACCAUCAAACGGUUUUCCACCGUGGUUCAAUUUCUAUUCUCAUCAGCAAUAUAUAAAAGUUUCAAUCUUUCCACAUUUUCUCCAAUACUUAUUUUCAUUAAAAAUUUGUUUUUUACUAUAUACAUCCCAGUGUGACGUGGUAUCUCAUCAUGAUUUUGAUUUGCAGUUGCCUCAUGGUUAAGGAGCAUCUUUUCAUGUGCUUAUUGGCCAUUCAUAUAUUUUCUUUGGAGACUUAUCUAUUCAUAUCCUUUGCCUAUUUUUAACUGAGUUAUACUUGUCUUCUAUACUGAGUUGUAAUAGCUCUUUUUAUAGUCUAGAUAAAAGUCUUUUUUCAAAUGUAUGAUUUACAAAAUUUUUCUCCCAUUCUGAGGGCCGCUUUUUCAUUUUCUUGGUGUCCUUUGAAGUAUAAAAGUUUUUGAUUUUGAUUAAGUCCAAUUUAUCUACUUUUUUGUUGCUUGUGCUUUAGGUGUUACAUAUACAGCUGCAUUUCUUUAAUAAAUGCUCCAUGGAUUGCUGACAGGCUUUAGUUAGCUUUCAAAAUUCUGAAAAAAUUGAUUUGACAUUUUGUUUUGGAGGGGAGAAUUUUAGGAACUUUUGACUGCAUUUUCACUGACAUCACCCAAUAUAUUUAGUUUUAUAUCUACCAUCUUGCUAUAUGUUUUAUCAUCUGUUUUGUGUUUAUUCUCUUGAUCUGUUUUAAUUUGAUCAUUUUUUCUAUUAAAUUUUUUUGCUAUUCUUUUAGACAUUAUGUUAGACAUCACAACUAAUGGAUAGCAAAACUAUAUGGAUAGCAAAAUACACACUGUUAUUUUUUACCAAUUUCUGUAUAAUGCAAAGAUCUAAAACUCCUUAAUGCAUGUUCUCCCUUUUUCAGUUGUUGUGUUGUUAUUAUGCAUUUAAUUCUGUAUAUGAAACUGGUUAACUUUAUAAUUAAGUCAAUAAAUAUAUUCAUAUAUACCAGUUUAUGUUUCUCAGUGUACAUUCCUUUCUACAUUUCUACCAUCUAUCUGGAAUCAUUUUUCUCCUGCCUAAAGAGCUCCUGCCUAAAGAGCUUAAAUAUUUAUUUUAAUUCAAAUUUUCUCAUGAUGAAUUUUCUGUAUAUUUGACCAAAAAUAGCUUGGCCUUCAGGAAUGCAUUUUAAUAAUGUUAGCACAUUAGUUCUUAUAUGCUUCUCUAGGUAACCACUCAAUUGUUCUUGGCUCUCCUAAAACUAAAAAGGUUCAAGAAUCCCAUCUCUCCUCAGAGGAGUUUGUUGUACUACAUUCAGGCUGCCUAGUUAUCUUGCAACCACAGCUCUCUAACAGUUUCCAAAGAAGGUUAUGACU